CCGGUGGUGGCCACGUCGGUACCGGCGCAGCAGCUUCUACUGGAAGCUGAUCGCGCUCGACCAGCGGUUCGACAUCGCCGACCGGA
rnacentral:tRNA from 1 species